ensembl:lncRNA
UCUUGUCAUGUUGAGUGCAUGUGACGCAGGACUUGAUGGCGGUCUCUACAGCUGCAUCCAUACCUGGCCACCAAUAGAGCUCCCUAAGUCUUUGCUUUGUACGUACAAUUCCCUGAUGUGUAUCAUGGGCAAUUUGGAUCAGUUUGGGCUGAAUUUCUCUUGGAACUACAACACGGUGAGUGCCACGGAUAACACAUUCAUCAUGUUCUGCAAGCUCAGUGUGAAUUUUGAAGUAUGGUACAAGAGCUGGAUCAAGACCUUUAGCAGUGCACGGCCAACCUGUCCUGAUGUACGCCCUCACCUGUUGUAGAAUAAGACAGUCUUUACAUGCAGCAGUCAGCUCUUCCAUGGUAAUGGCAGCAAAAUCAUCUGACACUAAUGCAACCGUCUCCAUGUCAGGUUCCACAUUGCAGUCAGUGUCAGGCAGUGGUAGACGUGAAAGACAGUCAGCAAUUACAUUGUCACAUCCACGUUUGUACUCAAUUGUGUAAUUGAAUGUCAACAGUCUUGCGGACCACCUAGCAAUUCUCAUGCCUGCUCUCCCAAGGCCCUUUG